ensembl:lncRNA
GUGGUUUUAAUAAUAUUUGUAGAAGUAUUAUCUCCUGACCCCCCUGUUGCUGCUGUGGUUAUUCCUCUGAUUUUUGUAGUUGCUGAAGUUGGAAUACUUGAUGUUAUGGUUCUUAAAGCUCCUUCCGAUGAAGUGAUCAUGACCAGGGGAGUAGUAUUUCCAGAAGCAGAAGCAGAGGUUGCUGAUGAUGUAGAGGUUGUUGAAACUUUGUCAGAUGAUGAAUCUGAUGUAAACUCUGAAGUAGUAUUUUCAGGUGUUAAAACAGUGUUCUCUGAUAAAGUGAAAGCUGUUUCAUCUGUGACUGUUUCUAGUGUAGAGGUGAGUGUAGUGGUUUUAACAUUAGUUGUAG